rnacentral:lncRNA from 1 species
GUGCUGUACAGCCCGCGCGUGUUCCAGAAAGCCGGCAUCGGCUCCGACUCCAACUCCCUCGGCGCCACGGUCGCCGUCGGCUUCACCAAGACCGCAUUCAUCCUCGUCGCCACCUUCUUCCUCGACCGCGUUGGCCGCCGCCCGCUCCUCCUCGCCAGCGCCGGCGGCAUGGUCGCCUCGCUCCUCGCCCUCGCCUCCACCCUCCACGUUAUCGGCGAUCGUGCCCACGACCACAGAGACGGUCACCGGGGAGCUGCUGCGGCGGUGGCGAUUGCGGCCGUGCUCAGCUUCGUGGGGUCGUUCUCGAUCGGGCUCGGGCCGAUCGCGUGGGUGUACAGCUCGGAGAUAUUCCCGCUGCGGCUGCGGGCGCAGGGGGCCAGCAUGGGGGCGGCCGUGAACCGGGUCAUGAGCGGGGUGAUAACCAUGACCUUCAUCUCGCUCUACAACGCCAUCACCAUCUCCGGGAGCUUCUUCCUCUAUGCGGGGGUCGCGGCGGUGGGGUGGGUGUUCUUUUACGUCUUCUUGCCGGAGACGCGGGGGAGGAGCUUGGAGGACAUGGAGGUGCUGUUUGGGAAGAAGGGAGUGGAGGAGGAGGAGGAGAAGGAGAAGGAGAAUAAGGGAGGAGAGGAGGGUAUGGUGGGUGAAAGCCAAGAGAACAAAUGUUAAAGAAGAAAAUUUGGUAUAUCGUUAGUAAUUGGUGGUGUUUGAUGCUUUAAUUAUGGGUAAAAGUGGUUAGGAUAAACUCAGCUUGUAUUUGAUACGGAAUUUAAUUGGAAGCAAUUAUGGAUGUCGAAAUUUAACAUUAAUAUUCAUAUAUUCAAAUUUAUAUUUAAAAAAUAAUAAAAAUUAAAUAUGGAUGUGAAUAUGAUUUUUUAAAAAAACCGAUUGUAUUUUACUAUUUUCCUUAGCAUUCUAUCGUAUUCUAUAUUUUAUUUAUUUUUUGAUUUUUCUGAAAAAAUAAAAAAGACAUGCAAUGGCUUCUAACAAGAAACCUUUUUAUUUCUUUCUUUUAGAUCUUGUGGCCGCAAAAAAAAAAAAGGAAAAGGCAUGCAAUGAUUUACAGCAAGAGAAAUACCAAGUCUAUAAUUCAAAAUCAAUUGGAAUAUUACAGGUAGCAUUAUUUAAAAAAAUAAAAAAAAGAAGGAAGUGUAAUGGCCCCUCUGGUUGAGCCAAUCCUUUUGUAUUUAGUAUUUAGUUCAUGUAUUUCGACCAUUUAAUGUUUGCAAAUUGCUCAAUGAACGUUUAUCGAUUAGUUCAUGUUUUUCGAACAUUUUAUAUUUUAUUUUUAAUCAUUUGUAGAAUUUUAGUUUGCAGUUUUAAUACAAAACUAUGGAUAAAAGUUGGAUUGAUAAGCUAAGAAGCAGUAAAAUUUACAUGAAGGGAGUAACUAAUUUUAUUAAAUUUGCUUUAGUGAAAGAAUCUUUUGAUGGAAAGAUUUAUUGUCCAUGUCGGAAAUGUUUUAAUCGUUGCUUGCAGUUCUAAUCCACUUUCCCUUUAUUAAGUAUCUUUUUGUGAAUUAACCUAGUGGGGUAUGCAAACGACACAACUUUUAUGCCUUCUAUUUUAUUCUAUCUUUGUUCAUUAACCUAGUGCGCUUAAGAAACGUACAUCUAUGUGAUUCCCGAUCAAAUUCUGAUUUAGUCUUCAUCGUGGUAUUUUAUGUUUCUAUUAUUUCUUCUCUUCUUUUAAGUUGUGUAUUUUCCUGAUAUCACGUAACUACGUAAAAUUUUCUUUGGGAUUCAAUGUUUCUAUCAGGAAAGAAUGAAUUUCUUGUGUGGAUUUCUAUCUAUUCUGUAGCUGAACUAUUUUAGAGUUAUGGAAGACUGUAGGACGUUCUUGGCCCUAGCUUGAACAACAAGGGCAAACCUUUAAUAUUCAGAUAAUAUAUAUGUUUGUUUUUCAAGGCACUUUUAAAUGCUUACUAAUACAAAUUUUCUUCCUAUUUUCGGAUUGGCUUGAAGGAUUGGUCACUAAAUAUCUAGUUGCAAUAUUUGUUGAUUAUUUUGGGGAUGUUAAAUUGUAAGCCUCCACUCUGAGCAAAAAAGGGUUCACUCCUGAAAUUUUGGUGCUUUAUGUAGUUGGAGAUGUGUUUUAUAUGUGACUGCUAGUAGUUGCCUAAUGAUCUUUUACCACAUAGGUUGUAGUUGGAGAUGUGUUUUAUAUGCGACUGCUACUAGUUGCCUGAUGAUCUUUUACCACAUAGGUUGUUGUUGGAAAUGUGUUUUAUAUAUAUGACUGCUAGUAGUUGCCUAAUGAUCUUUUUCCAACUAGGUUAUUGAAAAAAGCUAAAAUUUGAUUAAGUAUUUUAAAAUUCUUUUUUUUCUUUUUGUUAUUGAAGGGGUUCCUAGAAAAUUUUACCUAUGCUACUACAUGGAAUCGAAAUUGAUUUUUGCGAUGCUGCAUAGUCAGAGGUGGAGGUUUUAUGGCACUUAGAGAUGCUUGGCUGGAAAUAAAAUGAGGGGAUUAUGAUGUUGUUGCUUGUAAAGAGGCAGAAAAUAAAUUCGAGUUGUCUGAAUUUUCUUGAGGUAAUCUCUGCUAUUUAUUCCUUUUAGUAUGAAAUAUCUGUUCCUGUUUUCUAGUUUCUACUAAAUAUUUUGAAAUGAUCUUGCUUCUUACUGCUUAGCGUGCAUGUUUUUUUUUUUUUUUGAGAGAUAGGUAGCACGCUACCCGCUUCGUUUAUUUCAUUUAGAAAUAAACUUAGCUAGAAAUGUGAAUCAACUAGGAUUCGAACUUAGGUUUCGGGUACCAACCACCAAGCCCUUUGCCACUUGUUCUAAGGACAGUUGGUAGCAUGCAUGUUUUUAAAUUCACAAAUCUAAGGCUUAUUGGGAUAUCUAAUGUUAACAGAAUAUGGAGUUAUUCCUCUGCAUUGACUUGAGGCCUAUUUUAGUUUUACCAUGUCCUUUUAUUUAGUACUCAUCUUGUUCGAACUCCAAAACUUGUUUGUAGGCAAAAAAUAUGGACACUGAAUUGAACAAAAGGAUUCUCAAGCAAAAUAUUUGUGGACACUGUUUUUACUAGAACUGUUUUAAACAUUAGAAUUAACUUUUGUUUUCUUCUUCUAUUUAGAAAAAUUGAUGGCUUUUGAUUUAAAUACACUAUCAAAUAAUUAGUGAAAUUCUGAUGCAAUUGAGUUCUGUUUAUAUAAUUUCUUUUCCUCACAUUCUGCCUAUAAUAAUAUAAGAUUGGUGAAUUGAAUAUUUGUACUAAUUUUAAUUUUGUUUGAUAUAUACUGUAGAAUGAAUAUUAUUCGACAGUAUUUAGGUGGAAAUCCUGAUGUAGUUGAGUUCUGCUUAUAUAACUCUUUUCAUCACAUUUUGUCUGCGGCUACAUAUACAUUACUAGAGAGCAUACGUUUAAACUAAAAGCAAUAUAUACGCUACAAGAGUGAUGCAUUUAAGGAUCUUAGUAAUUCGUUGUGAAUAAAAAAGUGAUAAAACUUUUUUGUUCCUAUUAUUUCUAGUGCUUAUGCAAUAGUAGAAAAUUUUUUAUUUUUUGAUUGGGAUUAAUAUUGUUGAUUGAAGUUUAUUGAUGUUAAAACAUUAAAAAAAUUUUGUUCAUUACUACAAAUUUUUCGUAUUGGCAUGUUUAUCUGGUAUUUCAUAAUUAUCGAUGCUUUGGAGUGUCGGCAAUUGUUUAAAUUAAAUACUCUUUUUAGAGUCGGUAAUAUGUUGGUAUUUUAUAAUUUACCGAUAUUUUGAAGUGUCGGCAAUUGUUUAAAUUAACGACUCUUUUUAGAGUCGGCACCUAAUACAUUACCGACUCUAAAAAGAGUCGGAAAAAAGUUUCCCUUUAAAAAGCGUCGACGUUAUUUUUUCCGACACUUUAAAGUGUCGCUAAUUAUUAUUGAAAGCAUCUAUAAGUAUAAAAUUUGUUGUAGUGACGCAUGAAGUAUAUAUGACAUAUAUUAUAAUUAUACAUAGAAAUAUAGAUAUAGAUAUUCCACCUAUUAAUUUGACCCAGUAGUAUGUAAAAUAGUAGUUUCGAAUGAUUUUUAUGAUUAUUUUCAUGUUUUCUUAGUUUUUCUUAAAUAGAAAGAAAAAUAUUAAUAAAACUCAUAUACUCAUAUUCUACUUCAGAAAAUUUAAUUAAUGGAUAAUGAAGUCAAUAUUAAAAAAAAAAAAACAAAAACAAUCAUCAAAGCAAAAAAUUGACUAUGUGAUGGAAAAAAAAUUUAGAGAUAUGAUUCCAAGGAGACAGAACAAUAAUUGAUUGAAAAGUUAAAACAGAGAGAGACGGUUGAAAGAGAAAUUGUUCUUUUUUUUUUUCUUUAUCAGAAAUAAAAAGCAAUAACAAAAGUGGAAAAUGGAAGGAAAUAUCCUUUUUAUUACUCCUUUUUAGUAGAUCCUUGGGUUAUCUCUUUUGUCUUUAUCAUACAAGGAUUUUCAUGUCUCUAAGUUUGAAUAAUUAAUUUUGUUUUGAAUAACACAACAUUAAUCAUAUAGUAACCAUGAUGCUGCUUUCCCUUAUCAAUAUUUUUAUUUUAUUUAUUGUCUCACGUGGACAUCAUUAAGGAUUAAUUUUCUACAAAGAAUUAAUUUUUAAGAAUUAUACUUUUCAGAGUUGAGCUAAUUGAAUUCCAUAUCUUAGAAUACCUUGCGUUAUGUCAUUUUCUCGCUUGGUCAGCAUAGAAAAUAAUUGGGUGACAUAAUUAAGGAUACAAUAAUAUAAUACCCCUAUCAAUAGAGAUUAAUAUUAUAUUAUAUAUAUACACUAUUUUAUACCUAAGAGAUGAUAAAUAUCAAAUUUAAAUGGGCUAUUUUAGUCCAUUAAAUUAAAUUUUCAUGGAAAACAUAGAGGGGUUGGUUUAAAAUUCUCACAUUUUGUACUAUUAGAAGAUGCUGCGAAAAUCAUAAAUUUUUGCCACAUCAGAUCCUAUGGUGAACCAAAUAUGAAAAUUUUAAAUUCCUAGCACUCAUUUAUGAAAGUUUUAAAAAUACCACUAACUAAACAGGUCUUUACACCCUCUUAGGCUAUCUUAAAUUCUAGAAUGUUUAAAGAAUUAAAAUUCUAGUUGGUAUAACGAAAUUUAUAUUGAUUGAAAAAGAUUUAAGGAUUUCUUGUUAUAGAAAUGAUUAUUAUUCAAUUCUCGAAAUCUGAGAGUGAAAUUUUGUGACAAUUCAUUUAUUAUUAAUACUGUUUUAUUAAAAAUCAUAAAAUUUUCUUUCCUCAGUUUUAUAUAUAUAUAUAUAUAUAUAUAUAUAUAUAUAUAUAUUACCAACUUCAAAAUAGAAUAAAAUUCAAUUGAACUGUGGUUUAUUUUCAAUAAAAAUUUUGUUUAUAAAUAAAUUGAACAAAAUUCCUUUUUAUUUGAUUAUAAUUAAAUUUUAUUUAUAUUCAGCAUGCAAGGCUGUUUGGUUCCUUCAAAAGGUGAGAAAAAAAAAAUUCAAAAAGAAAAAUGUAAAACUUGUUUGUUAGUUAUUCGUCCGUUUGGUUCAAAAGAAAAAUAUUUUUAAUAAUUAUUUUUCAAAUUUUAUGAAAAACUAGUUUUUUUUUGUUUUUUUUAACUUUUUUAAAAAAUGCAAAUGCUAGGUUUUCAUAAAAUUUAAAAAUUUGUUCUUCAAAAUAAUUAGUUUUUUUUAACUGACAAAAAACACAAAAAAAAAAAAAAGAUAGAUCGAANAAAAACACAAAAAAAAAAAAAGAUAGAUCGAAAAUAAUAUAAAAUUUUAAAAAAUAAUAUAGAUCGAAAUAGGUUUCGUACUGGACCAAAGUCUCCAAGUUUAGAGUAUUUUUUGUUUUUGUUUUUGUUUUUGUUUUUGUUUUUUUUUGUGAUCCGGACAAUUAUUCACAGGAUUUGCCCACUUGAAAAGUCUCCUGUUGUCUCCACACAUUUGGUGGGGACUAGAGAGACUAGCCAACCACGCUAGAACUCCAUGGACCGGGUCCAAAGUUUCCGUAGGUCACUGCAUGCGCAAAUCCUUUUUAUUUUGAGGUCGGAGUCCAAUCUCAAAACCGGCCAAUUGGUUUAAGUAGUGAUAGCAUCACUUCAUUGUUCUAUGAUUUGCUUCAUCUUUUAUCCAAUUCAUCUCUCUAAGUUAUUUAAAGUCUAUUUUUACCUUCUUUUUUCUUUUUACUUAUUUUUAGUUAAAAAUAACAAUAAAAAUAAACAUCAAAAAAAUAAUUUGUUAGGAGAUUUUUCUUUUUUCGCCAUAUUAAUUUUAGAACUAGAACUUCUAGCCCCCGUUUGGUUCGGAGUUAAGAAAAAGUAGCUAUUCCAGGGAUAGGGUUAAGUUCAGGGUUAAAAUGGUGUUAAAAUUUUUUUGUGUUUGGUUGGAGGUUGGAGUUAGUCUAGGAUAGUGAAAAAAAGUGUUUGGUUGGAAUAGGUGGGAUAAGAAGAUAAUGAUUGAUAAAGAAGAAAAAUGUGAGAGCUCGGGAUGCGUGCGGGGUUAAAGUUGGGAGGGAGAGUGGGGUUAAUGAUUGAUAAAAAAGAAAAAGGUGAGGGCUCGGGAUACUCUGAGUUUACUAGACAUUAUUAUUGUGCCCAAUAUUAGAAAGAUAAAGGUAAGAUGGAUAGCACGUGGUGAUCUUGGUCUAGUAGAUCCAUACUACCGCUUCCUACUCACAUGGACGCUGUUCCACUAAUAUUAUACACCAUCAAAUUUGACUAGUUACAUAUAGCCCAUCUCCAUUCACUCCCUCCCCUCACACUACACACACACACACACACACACUCUCUCUCUCUCUCUCUCUCUCUCUCUCUCUCUCUCUCUCUCUCUCUCUCUCAAAAACAAUGGAGGAGCAGAACCCAAAAACACAACUCACCACCUCCACUCCUCCGCAAAGUUCUGCCCCAUCCAUGGCCAGCUUGGAUAUUAAGCCCCGGCGAAACAACUACGCACUCGCCUGCGCCAUGCUCGCCUCCAUGACCUGGAUCCUCGGCGGCUACGGUAACUAAUUCUAACACCAUUAUUAAUUACCCUCCUUUCUUCUUUUUUUUAGUAAAGAAAAAUAUAUGCAUGAUGCGAUUGUUUGCUUUGGUUUAAAGACAUCGCGGUGAUGAGCGGGGCGCAGCUCUUCAUUAAGAAGGACCUGAAGGUGACGGACACGCAGAUCGAGAUCCUGGCGGGGGUCAUCAACCUGUACUCGCUGCUGGGGUCGCUGGCGGGCGGGCGCACCUCGGACUGGAUCGGGCGGCGCUACACCAUCGUGCUGGCGGCCGCCAUCUUCUUCGCGGGGGCGCUGACGAUGGGCCUCGCCUCGGGCUACGCCGUGCUGAUGGUCGGCCGGUUCGUGGCGGGGGUCGGGGUCGGCUUCUCGGCCGUGAUCGCGCCCGUGUACACGGCCGAGCUCUCGCCCGCGGCGUCCCGCGGCACACUCACGUCCGUCCCGGAGGUGUCGGCCAACUUCGGCGUCCUCCUCGGGUACGUGGCCAACUUCGCCUUCGCGAAGCUGCCCCUCCGCCUCGGCUGGCGCGCCAUGUUCCUCGCAGGCGCCGUCCCGCCCGUCUUCCUCGCCGCCGCGGUGCUCGCCAUGCCGGAGUCCCCCCGCUGGCUCGUCAUGCAGGGCCGCCUGGACGACGCGCGCCGCGUGCUCACCAGGACCACCGGCGGCCCCGACGAGGCCGAGCUCCGCUUACAGGUGCGUCCAUCCAUGUGAAACAACCGUUCAUCUUUAAUAAAUUUAUUUAUUUAUUUAUUUAUUUGUAAUCAGGCAGUGUUUGUUUUCUAAAAGAAGGGUAAAAAUUUCUUUUUUGAAAAAAAAUUAUUUUCUAAAUAUUUUCUGAAGUAAAAAAAGAAAAGAAAAGAAAAGAAAAAAAAAAAAACAACCCUGCUAAUUUUAUAUAAUAUUGAGCUACACCGCCAGGAGAUAAAAGAGAGCCUGGGCGAGCACGCGAAGCUCAGGCGCGGGGAGGGCGUGUGGAGGGAGCUGCUGGUGCGGCCGACGCCGUCCGUGCGGCGGAUCCUGCUGGCGGCCCUCGGGCUGCAGUUCUUCCAGCAGGCGUCCGGCAUCGACUCGGUGGUGCUGUACAGCCCGCGCGUGUUCCAGAAGGCCGGCAUCCGCUCCGACUCCAACUCCCUCGGCGCCACCGUCGCCGUCGGCUUCACCAAGACCGCAUUCAUCCUCGUCGCCACCUUCUUCCUCGACCGCGUCGGCCGCCGCCCGCUCCUCCUCGCCAGCGCCGGCGGCAUGGUCGCCUCGCUCCUCGCCCUCGCCUCCACCCUCCACGUUAUCGGCGAUCGCGCCCACGACCACAGCGAUGGUCACCGGGGAGCUGCUGCGGCGGUGGC